rnacentral:rRNA from 1 species
UACGUAGGGGGCUAGCGUUGUCCGGAAUCAUUGGGCGUAAAGAGCGUGUAGGCGGUCCGGUAAGUCCGCUGUGAAAGUCGGGGGCUCAACCCUCGAAUGCCGGUGGAUACUGUCGGGCUAGAGUGCGGAAGAGGCGAGUGGAAUUCCUGGUGAUAGCGGUGAAAUGCGCAGAUAUCAGGAGGAACACCUAUUGCGAAGGCAGCUCGCUGGGACGUAACUGACGCUGAGACGCGAAAGCGUGGGGAGCAAACAGG